CGGUUGAUCCUGCCGGACCUGACUGCUAUCGGAUUGAUACUAAGCCAUGCGAGUCAUUGUAGCAAUACAAGGCAUACGGCUCAGUAACGCGUAGUCAACCUAACCUAUGGACGGGAAUAACCUCGGGAAACUGAGAAUAAUGCCCGAUAGAACAUUAUGCCUGGAAUGGUUUAUGUUCCAAAUGAUUUAUCGCCGUAGGAUGGGACUGCGGCCUAUCAGUUUGUUGGUGAGGUAAUGGCCCACCAAGACUAUUACAGGUACGGGCUCUGAGAGGAGUAGCCCGGAGAUGGGUACUGAGACACGGACCCAGGCCCUAUGGGGCGCAGCAGGCGAGAAAACUUUGCAAUGUGCGAAAGCACGACAAGGUUAAUCCGAGUGGUUUCUGCUAAAGAAACCUUUUGUCAGUCCUAGAAACACUGAUGAAUAAGGGGUGGGUAAGGACGGUGCCAGCCGCCGCGGUAAUACCGGCGCCUCAAGUGGUAGUCGCUUUUAUUGGGCCUAAAACGUCCGUAGCCGGUCUGAUACAUUCGUGGGUAAAUCAACUAGCUCAACUAGUUGAAUUCUGCGAGGACGGUCAGACUUGGGACCGGGAGAGGUGUGGGGUACGCUCAGGGUAGGGGUAAAAUCCUGUCAUCCUAAGCGGACCACCUGUUGCGAAGGCGCCACACUAGAACGGAUCCGACGGUCAGGGACGAAGCCUAGGGGCACGAACCGGAUUAGAUACCCGGGUAGUCCUAGGUGUAAACGCUGUGGACUUGAUGUUGGGGGCGCUCCGAGCGCUUCCAGUGUCGAAGCGAAGGUGAUAAGUCCACUGCCUGGGAAGUACGGUCGCAAGGCUGAAACUUAAAGGAAUUGGCGGGGGAGCACCGCAACCUGAGGAUUGUGCGGUUUAAUUGGAUUCAACGCCGGAAAACUCACCAUAGCCGACGGACAAAUGAAGAUCAGUGUAAUGAGCUUAUCGGAUUGUUCGAGAGGUAGUGCAUGGCCGCCGUCAGUUCGUACCGCAAGGCGUUCUGUUAAGUCAGAUAACGAACGAGACCCUCAUCCCUAUUUGCUAAGAUCUCUCCGGAGAUCACAGGACUAUAGGGAGACCGCUGGCGCGAAGUCAGAGGAAGGCGAGGGCAACGGUAGGUCAGUAUGCUCCGAAUGCUAUGGGCUACACGCGCAAUACAAAGGACAGGACAAUGGGCUGCUGCGCCGAAAGGCAUGAUAGCUAUCCCGAAACCUGUUCGUAGUUCGGAUUGAGGGCUGUAACUCGCCCUCAUGAAGCUGGAUUAGGUAGUAAUCGCGUCUCAAAAAGGCGCGGUGAAUAUGCCCCUGCUCCUUGCACACACCGCCCGUC
rnacentral:rRNA from 1 species